GGUCGUGCUGGGCGGGGCAGGCGUGGUGGCGCUGACUGCCUGUGGAGGCCUCGGCGGGGGUGAGGCGAGACUCAGCGAGGGGCUGGAGCGGCUGCCGCUGGAGCAUGAGAGAACGCGGCUGGUGGCCGUCGACUACGAGGAGAUGGCCCAGUUGCGGGACAUGGAGCGGCCCGGCCC
rnacentral:misc_RNA from 1 species